AUUAAGUGUAAUAAACUUUAGCAUUAAUUGUGCAGGAGACUGUUCAUUUAAACUUUAUUGUGGUAACGUUAAAUGCUCGCUCGUUUUGCAAAGUUACGUUUGGAGAUUCAUGUUAACAGUCAUUGUUUAAUGAAAGGCACAUUGGACUACGGGUUAGUAUGUGUGACACUUGCAGCACUUUAACGUAAAUCUUUAACACCGUGUCAUAAAUAGACGUGACACGCGGUAACGGGUUUCUUUUCAGUUUAUGUCCUGACGUUAAUAGGACGGGAUAUUAUAAAUUAUGCCUUUCGAUUAUCGCGACGCCUCGUCGCGUUUGGUUAAGCACAUGGUGGAUCAGUAUGCACGUCACUGUACCUAACGUACUGUACACCUGUGAGCGGCAUGACGAGACAAAAGACGGUAAAACUCAUUAUUAUUCGGUGAUGCUGUAACAUACUGGAUGCACCACCACAUUUUAUAAUAAUGUUUUUUAUUUUCGUGUCGCGCCCUCGCGUUCAACAUAACGUAGUGGUCUAAAUGUAAGGAGUCAAACUUUACGAACCUUUCACUGCUUGCAGUAAGGCUGAAGUGCUAGGUAGUGAAUAAAAUGGGUGUAGUCUUGUGCUACUAGAUGUAAAUCACAAUUCUUGUGUCAAUGUUUGUUUGUAAUCUUUUUCAGCUAUCCAUCUGAAAAAGAAAAGCUGGCACUCGCAAAGGAGAUUGUGUUGUUGGAUUAUGGUCUCAUUUGGUCAAAAUGAGGGACAUGUACUGAGCAUUUUUCUUUAUUUUUUCUUUUUUUUUUGAUGGGCCAUCACACAGUGGAUUUAUAAAAAUUAGACUACAGAACAUCAGACGGAAGCUUCAAUGGAGUUGACGUGAGAGGACAUCAUCAAUAAAGAAUGCCAUUGACCAAACCUUCAGUCAUCAACGGAGAUGGAUACAGGUGGACAUCAAGUUUUCCAGACUUACCGAUAGGAAAGAAGACAUGUUUAUCAGGAAAUGGGAGGUGACAAUUAUUGAGAAACUCAGGGAAAUAGCAUCUUUAGAGAAGAAAAUGGACAUCAGACAUUCAUUGAAGAAAGCUGACAGUCAACAUAAUGGUAUGAUUUCCUGUCUCUGUUCCAAAUUUUUUAUUUGGAAAAUGACAUUUAAAAUGUAACAUUUAAUGUAAGAUAUAAAAGUAAUCCUUUUUAAAGAAUUUUUUCUCAUAAUUUAUAUUUU